rnacentral:rRNA from 1 species
GAUGAACGCUGGCGGCGUGCCUAAUACAUGCAAGUCGAGCGAACAGACGAGGAGCUUGCUCCUCUGACGUUAGCGGCGGACGGGUGAGUAACACGUGGAUAACCCACCUAUAAGACUGGGAUAACUUCGGGACACCGGAGCUAAUACCGGAUAAUAUAUUGAACCGCAUGGUUCAAUAGUGAAAGACGGUUUUGCUGUCACUUAUAGAUGGAUCCGCGCCGCAUUAGCUAGUUGGUAAGGUAACGGCUUACCAAGGCAACGAUGCGUAGCCGACCUGAGAGAGUGAUCGGCCACACUAGAACUGGGACACGGACCAGACUCCUACGGGAGGCAGCAGUAGGGAAUCUUCCGCAAUGGGCGAAAGCCUGACGGAGCAACGCCGCGUGAGUGAUGAAGGUCUUCGGAUCGUAAAGCUCUGUUAUUAGGGAAGAACAAAUGUGUAAGUAACUAUGCACGUCUUGACGGUACCUAAUCAGAAAGCCACGGCUAACUACGUG